GUCGUUCAUCUCCAUGGUUCCUCUGAGGGGACGGGAGUAGGGGCUUUGCCUUGAAGAAACGCGCC
rnacentral:ncRNA from 21 species